rnacentral:rRNA from 1 species
AUACGGAGGGUGCAAGCGUUACUCGGAAUCACUGGGCGUAAAGCGCGCGCAGGCGGCUAUUUAAGUUGGAUGUGAAAGCCUACGGCUCAACCGUAGAACUGCAUCCAAAACUAUUUAGCUAGAGUGUGGGAGAGGAAGAUGGAAUUAGUUGUGUAGGGGUGAAAUCCGUAGAAAUAACUAGGAAUACCAAACGCGAAGGCAAUCUUCUGGAACACUACUGACGCUGAGGCGCGAAAGCGUGGGGCGCAAACAGGAUUAGAAACCCUAGUAGUCC